GUAGGAACUAAAACGAGGGACACCAGUGCCUCAAGAUGAGGCGUUCAAGAUCACUCACGUGAAGAAGAAGGCAAACACUAAUGAUAAAGACGAUUGGUGUGAGGAACGGGCUGAGCGGACCUACAAUCAAUAUCAAAAUUCAAAGGCAGAGUUUCUUCGUACUCAGCCACCCAAUACACAGCUGACAGAAAAACAAAUAGAGGAAAGGUGGCUUGGGAGUGUUGGUGGUCCCACUAGGUUUGGCACAACUUACGGAAUGCCACAUCGUGCAUUUCGUCAAUACCGGUCGCCCCUGGAAGGCCUACAUUCUUCCAAUACCGAGUCGUUCGAUAGAGUGAGUGCUAUGGCUAUGGAGCAAAAGAUUGCUGAGCUAUCUAGCCGCCAUGUGCCUCGAGGAAAGGGAGAGGCGGAGGGAUGUGCAGUUUGACGGUAUGAGGGCCCAAUUAGACGCAUUACUUGCUUCGAGGGGGAUUCCCUCGUGUCCUGAUGAUGCUCGUAACCCCCAUACUCAAUCUAAUGGUGCGGAUGAUGAUAGGACUCACGUGUCAAACACACAAAGGCAUGUUUGAAUGUUAAUGUUGUGGUGGAUUUGUGGAUUGUGUAAGUGUUUUGUGGAUGUUUGCGAGGGGUGAAGUAGUCUAAUGUUGUAAACUAACUUAGUGUAGACUAGUUUAAUGUUUUGUGAAUGUUUGCAAAGGUUGAAGUAGUUUAAUGUUGUGUUGAUGUUUGCGAAGGUUGAAGUAGCCUAAUGUCUCUUGUGAAUGUUUGAAUGACGUUUUGAUUCAACUUUGAAGUAGUUUCGAAUUGAA